rnacentral:miRNA from 1 species
GCUGUCCUGCGGCUGGUGGGAGGU